GUGUAGGAUAGGUGGGAGGCUUUGAAGUGUGGACGCCAGUCUGCAUGGAGCCGGCCUUGAAAUACCACCCUUUAAUGUUUGAUGUUCUAACGUGGACCCGUGAUCCGGGUUGCGGACAGUGUCUGGUGGGUAGUUUGACUGGGGCGGUCUCCUCCUAAAGAGUAACGGAGGAGCACGAAGGUUGGCUAAUCCUGGUCGGACAUCAGGAGGUUAGUGCAAUGGCAUAAGCCAGCUUGACUGCGAGCGUGACGGCGCGAGCAGGUGCGAAAGCAGGUCAUAGUGAUCCGGUGGUUCUGAAUGGAAGGGCCAUCGCUCAACGGAUAAAAGGUACUCCGGGGAUAACAGGCUGAUACCGCCCAAGAGUUCAUAUCGACGGCGGUGUUUGGCACCUCGAUGUCGGCUCAUCACAUCCUGGGGCUGAAGUAGGUCCCAAGGGUAUGGCUGUUCGCCAUUUAAAGUGGUACGCGAGCUGGGUUUAGAACGUCGUGAGACAGUUCGGUCCCUAUCUGCCGUGGGCGCUGGAGAACUGAGGGGGGCUGCUCCUAGUACGAGAGGACCGGAGUGGACGCAUCACUGGUGUUCGGGUUGUCAUGCCAAUGGCACUGCCCGGUAGCUAAAUGCGGAAGAGAUAAGUGCUGAAAGCAUCUAAGCACGAAACUUGCCCCGAGAUGAGUUCUCCCUGACCCUUUAAGGGUCCUGAAGGAACGUUGAAGACGACGACGUUGAUAGGCCGGGUGUGUAAGCGCAGCGAUGCGUUGAGCUAACCGGUACUAAUGAACCGUGAGGCUUAACCUUACAACGCCGAAG
rnacentral:rRNA from 1 species